GCGGCACCGCUCGGAAGAGGACCCUGCAGUCUGGUUUGGGUUUUCAGCUUUUGUUCCUCCUCCCCAAAUUCCAAAGGAAAUACGGCAUUCAAGCUCCUUGUCUCUUGGGAACGUAUAAUUCCUCCGCAAAGAAAGAGGAAACGUUUCUCUAUGAUAAACACAGGAGUAUCAGUAAGAGGUCGGCUUAUCCUGUUGGUGUUCGGAGAAGUUGUGGCAUCCAGGAGAACUCAGAUUGUUCAGUAUACAUUAGAGACAUCUUUAAAUCUGCCUGGUCUGCCCGGCAUGCUAACUGGGAGCCCUCUGCCGCAUCACCCGAGUCGUUUUGCCAUCUUGGAAUCAUCCAGUGAUGAGUGUGCCAUCGUUCUGUAUUGGAAAUGAAGUUUCUCAGAAACACUGAAUUCAGAAUGGGAUCGAACAAGAUGCUGUUUACUGAAAGAUUAUGCAAAGCAUAAAGUGCAUUGUCGUCCUAGUAUAAUCCAAAGCUUCCCAUUAAUUGUUGCCGAAAAUUAAUGAUACUUGGUAUUUAAUGCACUAAAUGAACUACAAAUAGGAUGUUAGUGGUUGGAUUUAUACUUUUGAAUGCUAAGAAUUUCAACUACAUUAUACACAAAAGGGGCAAGACCUUUUCCACGGUGUUUCCAGCUUCUCUACAGAAAACUAAGCCCCACAUGAGCAAAAAAGAUCACACUCUGCUUCAUCAAGGAGAUUACACAAUUACAGAUUCUAGCGCUUCCCAGGAGUCCUUUGAAUUUGGAUUAAGAGCUACAGUUUUGUGGGUAAGGGACUAGCUAGGCAAUUGGCUUUCUGCCCCUGGAAUGUACCUUGAGUGUAGGAAGCCACUUUUAAUCAGAGGUAAAUGGAAUUAAGGUGAACCCUGUCUCUUAAGGGGAUACAUUGGGACCAUAUGUUUUAAUAGAUAUUCGCCACAAUCUUUAGCACCUAAGCUGCUUCCAUUUGUUCACUAAUUUGCCAUAGAAUUUUUCCUAUCAUGUUUAUGAUGUUAUUCAGGACAGACUACCCCAAAAUAUGACACCUUGGCAUAUUAAAUCUUCUAAGCUGAAGGCAUUGAGAAAUGGCAGGUGCAGGAAGGAUUCUGACCUUCCCUCGAAGCAGGUCAUUAGGAGCUUCAUAUGAGAGGUGCCCUUCUUGUAUCUGGAAGAGAGAAGCAUUCUUAUCUCUGAAGGCCUAAAGGAACAGGCCUUGCUAGAUUUCUCUUACUUUACCACUGUUAGCUCAUACCUCUUUUUGUCCUAUCACAUGUUUCCAUGACCCUCUACUCUUCACCAAACCUAGAAUAAAACAUUGAUGUUAAA